UUUUCCAUUUUUUGCAACCAGCAGGAAGUUCAUUUUUCAGCUCAGUUCAAUUUUGCACGUCAUCUCCAGCGGUUUAAGCGGUUCAAGCGGAUCUAACUAACCGCAGAACACAACAGCAACAUUUUUCUGAAUUCUGGGAACAUUUUUUUUCUUUCGCGAGUGCUAUAGUGGCUAAAAUAUAUUCAAGCAAAUCAAGCAAUACAAGCAAUUGAGCAAUCUUAAACAAUGAACUGUUUAGAUUAGUGAAGUUUCUCUUUCAACUUAGUGGAGUUUUCCAAAUAGUUUAUACAAAUCAGAUCCAGCAUGUAUCGGUUGCAAAGACGCGCUGCUUUGAUAGCCAAGCAAGAUCUUUGUACCCUU